CUGUCAUAAGGUGAGGGUAAAUUUUAUUUUUAGUUUAGCCCAUGAAAAAAAAAACACACAUCGUGUUGUCUGGGGUACAUGAUGAGCCAAGGUCACUGAUUAUUGAGUUUGCAGAAUCUGCUAACCAUUGUCUUUCCUGCGCCCAGAUUCAUGAUUUUAUUAAUAAAUCGCAGAAUGUGCUUUUGUUAUAUCUUAUUCGACAGUGAAAACUUAAAAGCGUUGAAAACAACAAAAGCCAAAUAGCCAAUUUAUAUGCAAUAAAUCGGUUUUUUCCCCUUAUGAUUCGGCUGAAAUGUAUAACUCUAAGAUAAUAAAUGGGGGAGGGGCUGUAUAACCUUAGAUUUCCUCCCUACACACGCCACUGUCGUUCGUUCACCUGUGAUUGACUGUCGAACUGUCUCUAAAUCACGUUGUAUAUUUAAAUAUAAGUACGUUGCUACGUAUAUAUUUUUUUAUUUUUUUUAUCGGUUCAUAAAAAUACCGUGUGCUUAUAUUCUAUUGUGUAUCAACGAAAUAUUCACGAAUGCCGUAAGGAAAAAAAAAAACCAAACAAACGCCCAUAUACUAUUUUCAUUCAAAUAUUACGCUACACGUCGUCGUGGUUUACGUAAUUUUGAAAUUUAAUUUUGUUCGCGAUAACUGUGUUUAUAAUGGGUGUACACGUACGACGUGUAUAUUAUGCUAAUUAUUAUUAUUGUUUUGUCUCGAAUGUUCGAUAUAGCGAAGUGCGCAAAAAAAAAAAAAAAAAAAAAAAGUAUCGUUUCGACAACUGCGCGGCACGUCCAUUAUUAUUUCAAAGUAUACUAACAUUCGCGAUUUGCACAGGCUGCACAAUAUUCGGAAUAUUAAACACGCGCAUUAUAAACCGUAUUAUACAUUCAAUCGAUCGUUGUCUCGAAUGUUCGAUAUAGCGAAGUGCGCAAAAAAAAAAAAAAAAAAAAAAACCACGACGGAGUAUUUGUUUAUCGUUCCGGAGCGUAAACACAUUGGUUGUAUAGAUGAUGCGACCGUAAACACACGUAUACAGAAUUUUUCAAUCGAAUCGAUCACGCGAAUUACGCAACAGCGUAUUACAUCACGGGCGAAAAUGUUUAUGGUUAUCCGAAAUCCCGCGAGCAAGUACGCGAGCAGAAUUGUUUUCGCCGUUUAUGUAUAUAUCUAUUAUUAUACGCAACUACGAAGACAUCGCGUGAAAAUACACAAAAUCGUUUUUAACAAUAGAUACUUUUGGAAAAUAAAA